rnacentral:rRNA from 1 species
UGGGGAAUAUUGCACAAUGGGGGAAACCCUGAUGCAGCGACGCCGCGUGAACGAAGAAGGUAUUCGUAUCGUAAAGUUCUGUCCUAUGGGAAGAUAAUGACAGUACCAUAGAAGAAAGCUCCGGCUAAAUACGUGCCAGCAGCCGCGGUAAUACGUAUGGAGCGAGCGUUGUCCGGAAUUAUUGGGCGUAAAGGGUACGCAGGCGGUUUAAUAAGUCGAAUGUUAAAGAUCGGGGCUCAACCCCGUAAAGCAUUGGAAACUGAUAAACUUGAGUAGUGGAGAGGAAAGUGGAAUUCCCAGUGUAGUGGUGAAAUACGUAGAUAUUAGGAGGAAUACCAGUAGCGAAGGCGACUUUCUGGACACAAACUGACGCUGAGGUACGAAAGCGUGGGGAGCAAACAGG